GAGGAGGUCUCCUUCCACACUGUGGGAGGUUUGUUCUUUCGCUCUUUGCAAUAAAUCUUGCUGUUGCUCACUCUUUGGGUCCACACUGCCUUUAUGAGUUGUAACACUCACCACGAAGGUCUGCAGCUUCACUCCUGAAGCCAGCAAGACCACAAACCCACCGGGAGGAACGAACAACUCCAGACGCGCCGCCUUAAGAGCUGUAACAAUCACCCCGAAUGUCUGCAGCUUCACUCCUGAGCCAGUGAGACCACGAACCUGCCAGAAGGAACAAACUCCGAACCGCCGCCUUUAAGAACUGUAACACUCACCGCGAGGGUCCGCGACUUCAUUCUUGAAGUCAGUGAGACCAAGAACCCACCAAUUCCGGACACACUUUCCCUGUUGCAUAUUUUUGUUGACUUUGUUGAAGUCACCACAGAUCACACUCCAGUGCAGAGGGAACCAAGAAACCAACUGCUUCUUCAACAUAGUUUCCAGACAUGGCAACAAUUAACCACUUUUUGUAGGCAGUUAAUGGAUUAACACAACCGCUAAGAUUAUAAUGAAAAGAUACUGGAAGAACCACUGUGAAAGCAAAACAUCGAGACGGAGUCUCGCUCUUUCACCCAGGCUGGAGGGCAGCUGUGCGAUCUCGGCUCACUGCAAGCUCUGCCUCCCGGGUUCACGCCAUUCUCCUGCCUCAGCCUCCCGAGUAGCUGGGACUACAGGCGCCCGCCACCACGCCUGGCUAAUUUUUCGGUAUUUUUAGUAGUGACGGGGUUUCACCGUGUUAGCCAGGAUGGUCUCAAUCUCUUGACCUCGUGAUCCGCCCGCCUCGGCCUCCCAAAGCAAAUGUUCUUUACUAUUGUUUUACUUUACUGUGAUUAGAAAAUGGCUUGCUUUGCCUAAGUACAUGUCAACUCUCAGUAAAUGGUUUCAAUUCAUAAGAAAGCAAUUGAAAGUCAUUCUAAAAUUAAAUUUUAGCUGCAUUUAAUAUAGUAAGUAUAUAAUCCACAAACAAACAAUAAAG
rnacentral:lncRNA from 10 species